CUCUCUCUCUCUCUCUCUCUCUCUCUCUCUCUCUCUCUCUCUCUCACACACACACACACACACACACACACACACACACACACACACACACACACACACACACACACACACACACACACACUAUUUCCGUCACUAAUCAUGGUUGUAAUCUUUUCUAUUCUCAGUUUUUCUCAUUCCUCUCUUUCCUUACUUGUCGCUGUUGUCUUUGUUCCAAUAUGUGCUUAUUAGUGUUUUGCUUCGCCUCACGCCACGACCUUGUCUCAUUUUCCCGAUGGACAUUCUUACUUUGAUUUCUCGCCUUUUGUUGUUAUUUACGAUACACACAUGCAUUUAUCUUCCUUUUUCCUUCUUUAUUAUUUUUUUCCUUUCAGCUUUAUUCGUACCUUUUCCCAACCAUGUUUUUUCUCUUUAUUCCUUUUUACUUUUAUUUAUCCAUUUUCUUCUAUGUCAUCUUUCACUCCAGCGUUCUUCAUUUAAUUCAUUCCUUAAUCCAUCUCUUCGCCUCAUAUCCUAAAGAAAAAAAUAAAGAAAAUAAAACCAUGCAACAUCAUACAUACGCACAGACAGCAAUUUUAGUUAUUUUUUUUUAUAUUAACACUAUUUUUAUUGAAGAUUAUUAUUCCUAUGCUUACUUACAUUUUCCCCAUUUGCUCUUAAGUUUUUUGCCAGCAGCAGCAGGCCUAAGACUUUAUUCCAUAAAGACUUAUUACCCUAGAGACAAGGAGGAGAAUAAGGCUUAUUGGAAGGCGAUCUUAAGGCCUACAAUGCUGGGUAAAUAAUGCUAACCUCUCACUGCUAAAAACAAUAAUUUCAUGUUUUCCUAUCACAUAAAUUUUAGAUAUUCUUUUAAACUGCAGAGUCUUCAGUAGUUUUGAAACUUAGGAAGACUUUGUUAACGUGCUAAAAUUGAUCUUAUGUUUAUGUGGAUAUUAUCAUUAGUUCCUUCUUUUCGAAUUCGUCUGAGUGUUGGCAGACCACUUACGAGUAGAGCAGUGAGAGAGUUAUCAGUGCUGUGUAUGUCCAUGCGUGCUUGUGUGUGUGUGUGUGUGUGUGUGUGUGUGUGUGUGUGUGUGUGUGUGUGUGUGUGUGUGUGUGUGUGUGUG